rnacentral:rRNA from 1 species
UAGGGAAUAUUGCUCAAUGGGGGAAACCCUGAAGCAGCAACGCCGCGUGGAGGAUGACACUUUUCGGAGCGUAAACUCCUUUUCUUGGGAAAGAAUUAUGACGGUACCCAAGGAAUAAGCACCGGCUAACUCCGUGCCAGCAGCCGCGGUGAUACGGAGGGUGCAAGCGUUACUCGGAAUCACUGGGCGUAAAGGACGCGUAGGCGGAUUAUCAAGUCUCUUGUGAAAUCUAACGGCUUAACCGUUAAACUGCUUGGGAAACUGAUAGUCUAGAGUAAGGGAGAGGCAGAUGGAAUUCUUGGUGUAGGGGUAAAAUCCGUAGAGAUCAAGAAGAAUACCCAUUGCGAAAGCGAUCUGCUGGAACUUAACUGACGCUAAUGCGUGAAAGCGUGGGGAGCAAACAGGAUUAGAUACCCUGGUAGUCCACGCCCUAAACGAUGUAUACUAGUUGUUGCUUCGCUAGUCGAGGCAGUAAUGCACCUAACGGAUUAAGUAUACCGCCUGGGGAGUACGGUCGCAAGAUUA